rnacentral:rRNA from 1 species
CGGGUUGUAAAGCACUUUUGUUAGGAGAAGAAAGGUUUGGCGCUAAUAAUCUGAGCUCAUGACGGUACCGAAAGAAUAAGCACCGGCUAACUACGUGCCAGCAGCCGCGGUAAUACGUAGGGUGCAAGCGUUAAUCGGAAUUACUGGGCGUAAAGCGUGCGCAGGCGGUUUUGUAAGAUCAGAUGUGAAAUCCCCGGGCUCAACCUGGGAACUGCAUUAGUGACUGCAUAGCUGGAGUACGGCAGAGGGGGAUGGAAUUCCGCGUGUAGCAGUGAAAGGCGUAGAUAUGCGGAGGAACACCGAUGGCGAAGGCAAUCCCCUGGGC